UACAGAGGUGGCAAGCGUUGUUCGGAAUUACUGGGCGUAAAGGGCGCGUAGGCGGCCAUCUAAGUCGGACGUGAAAGCCCCAGGCUUAACCUGGGAACGGCGUCCGAUACUGGGCGGCUUGGAUUCGGGAGAGGGAUGUGGAAUUCCAGGUGUAGCGGUGAAAUGCGUAGAUAUCUGGAGGAACACCGGUGGCGAAGGCGGCAUCCUGGACCGAGAUCGACGCUGAGGCGCGAAAGCUAGGGGAGCAAACGGG
rnacentral:rRNA from 1 species